rnacentral:rRNA from 1 species
GAUGAACGCUAGCGAUAGGCUUAACACAUGCAAGUCGAGGGGUAACGUGUUGGAAGCUUGCUUCCGAUGACGACGACCGGCGGAUGGGUGCGUAACGCGUAUGCAACUUGCCUCACAGUGGAGAAUAACCCGGAGAAAUCCGGACUAAUACUCCAUACACUCUUAAGUACGCCUGUACAUGAGAGGAAAGAUUUAUCGCUGUGAGAUAGGCAUGCGUCCUAUUAGGUAGUUGGUGAGGUAACGGCCCACCAAGCCGACGAUAGGUAGGGGUGCUGAGAGGCAGAUCCCCCACAUUGGGACUGAGACACGGCCCAAACUCCUACGGGAGGCAGCAGUGAGGAAUAUUGGUCAAUGGAGGAAACUCUGAACCAGCCAAGUCGCGUGAAGGAAGAAUGUCCUAAGGAUUGUAAACUUCUUUAGCGAGCGAGUAAGGACUUCCACGUGAUGGGAGUUUGAAAGUAGCUCGAGAAUAAGUAUCGGCUAACUCCGUG